CACCCGAAGCCUGUGGUUAUUUGACUGCAAGGCAAUGUGGUGUUUAGGUUUGUUCUUGGCAUUACUGCUCUGCCCCAAGUCCAGCAAUGAGUACGGCAUACCGUUCUGGCCCAUAGAGGGUGAAAGGCCCGUGGGGGUAGAGACCAAGCAUGACAGUUUUGUCCAGAGCUUACCUUGGAGUCGGGUUGUUUGAGAAUGCAGCCCAAAGUGGGUGGUAAACUCCAUCCAAGGCUAAAUACUUGCACGAGUCCGAUAGUAAACAAGUACCGUGAGGGAAAGUUGAAAAGUACUUUGAAGAGAGAGUAAACAGUGCGUGAAACCGCUCAGAGGUAAACGGGUGGAGUUGAACUGCGAUCCUUGGGAAUUCAGCUGAUGAGCAUGAUUUGUGCUUGGGCAUAUUGACCGCCUUUCAGUGUCUGCUUAGCUGCGGGUGCCUGCCUCUGGUGGGUAUGUGUGGUGCGCUUAUCAUGUGCCGCACGCAUUGGAGGGUGUAUGAGUCUGCUUGUCGGUGCACUUUCUCAGGGUGUUCACCACGACCGGCACUGCUGUCUGUCUGCUUUGGUCAAACUGAUCAGGUCUGAUUAACGUUGGGCUUGGUUGGGUUGGCAGGUGACUCACUGGUCCAUUCUGUGGGCUAUGAGUGUUACUAGCCGGCCUUAGUGGAUCUGUACGGUGUGUCGGAGACGGCGGCUUUGCAUAUGCGCUCUGUUCUUCAGGCGUGGUUGAGUCUGGUCGACUUGUUGCUAGUUUCGGCUGGUCAGUUGAUGGSUUGAUSRUGUUCAGUUGGCAGUGGUGUGUGUGUCUUAGUUUGGGCCAAUAGUCUGUGGUGUUGUGGUAGACUAUCCACCUGACCCGUCUUGAAACACGGACCAAGGAGUUUAACAUGUGCGCGAGUCAUUGGGCUUUACGAAACCCAAAGGCGCAGUGAAGGUAAAGGUUUGGCUUGUCCAGGCUGAGGUGAGAUCCUGUUGUUUUGCUCAUUUAUUCCAAGCUGCGAGCAGCAGGCGCAUCACCGGCCCGUCCCAUGACGUAGACAUGUGGCCUUGUGCUAUGUGCACCGUCGGGCGGAGCAAGAGCGUACAUGUUGAGACCCGAAAGAUGGUGAACUAUGCUUGCGAAGGUUGAAGCCAGAGGAAACUCUGGUGGAGGACCGUAGCGAUUCUGACGUGCAAAUCGAUCGUAUAACGUGAGUAUAGGGGCGAAAGACUAAUCGAACCAUCUAGUAGCUGGUUCCCUCCGAAGUUUCCCUCAGGAUAGCUGGCAUUCUGAGAUAUAAACAGUUUUAUCCGGUAAAGCGAAUGAUUAGAGGCAUUGGGGAGAAAACAUCCUCAACCUAUUCUCAAACUUUAAAUGGGUGAGAAGCUUAACUCGGGGGGGGGGGGGGUUUUGCAUUGAAUGUGAGUGCCAAGUGGGCCAUUUUUGGUAAGCAGAACUGGCGCUGUGGGAUGAACCAAACGUGCGGUUAAGGUGCCUAACGCGACGCUCAUGAGAUACCACAAAAGGUGUUGGUUGGUCCAGACAGCAGGACGGUGGCCAUGGAAGUCGGAAACCGGCUAAGGAGUGUGUAACAACUCACGCUGCCGAAUCAACCAGCCCUGAAAAUGGAUGGGCGGCUGGA
rnacentral:rRNA from 1 species